UGUUAGCAUUGCUUUCAUGUGACCACCUGUACAACAUACCACUACUAGAGAACAGAAUCUGAUGGGACACACAGGCAACCACAUGCAUAGGAGUCAUGUAACUAGGAUCAACCACUAGGGUGCACUGCAGCAAUUUAUAGCAAUCUUUGCAUUGACAUCGCACAGAACAUAGCAAUAUCAGCUAUCUACUUGAGUCUGCCUCUUUAGGCAGACAAUAAAGAAGAUCCCUGAAGCAGCUGGAGACAGGGUUUAACCAAUGAGUAUGGAUGGCAUAUCAACAGCACAACUACCAUGUUAAAGUAGCCAUACACUAACUAUCGUCCGACUGUUCGUCCAGCAAAUGGUUCUCUCUCUCUCGCCCUACCCAUACAUAUGAACGUCUGGCAUGGUAUGUAUCCUCUAUAGGCAAGAAUAAGUUGCAGCCAAACUGCUAUGGUGCAUGCUCACCAUUCCCAGAACAGUAAGUAAAAACCCAACAUGCGCAACCAACUCUUUUGUUCACUGACAACUGUUGGGGAAGUGGGGCGUCAGGAGACCACCAUACACUUUACACCAUUUGAUUUAGCAAACUUUUGUAUGGGACCCUUUACAGUUGUUCAGGCUGGCGAUAUAUGAUCUAUCACAGCAGGUGAAGGAUGAUCUUUCUGGGAAUAUUUAGAGAAUAUUAUUUCACAAGAGAUACAGGACAAAAGAUCUUUCCUGAGCAAACAAUCAUGCACCCGACUAUUAGACAAAAAAUUUCAACAGUUGCUUUUCAGACAAUAAAGGUAUCCAGACACUUUGCCAAAGUCAGAUUCC